rnacentral:rRNA from 1 species
GUGGCAGCCGCCGCGGUAAUACGAAGGGGGCUAGCGUUGCUCGGAAUUACUGGGCGUAAAGGGCGCGUAGGCGGAUAGUUUAGUCAGAGGUGAAAGCCCAGGGCUCAACCCUGGAAUUGCCUUUGAUACUGGCUAUCUUGAGUUCGGGAGAGGUGAGUGGAAUGCCGAGUGUAGAGGUGAAAUUCGUAGAUAUUCGGCGGAACACCAGUGGCGAAGGCGACUCACUGGCCCGAUACUGACGCUGAGGCGCGAAAGCGUGGGGAGCAAACAGGAUUAGAUACCCCAGUAGUC